CAGCAUGGUCUUAGCUUGCUAAGGCCGAUGGCGACCGGCGCACGGGUGAGUAACACGUAUCCAACCUUCCGUCUACUCUUGGACAGCCUUCUGAAAGGAAGAUUACUACAAGAUGGCAUCAUGAGUCCGCAUGUUCACAUGAUUAAAGGUAUUCCGGUAGACGAUGGGGAUGCGUUCCAUUAGAUAGUAGGCGGGGUAACGGCCCACCUAGUCUUCGAUGGAUAGGGGUUCUGAGAGGAAGGUCCCCCACGUUGGAACUGAGACACGGUCCAAACUCCUACGGGAGGCAGCAGUGAGGAAUAUUGGUCAAUGGGCGAGAGCCUGAACCAGCCAAGUAGCGUGAAGGAUGACUGCCCUAUGGGUUGUAAACUUCUUUUAUAAAGGAAUAAAGUCGGGUAUGGAUACCCGUUUGCAUGUACUUUAUGAAUAAGGAUCGGCUAACUCCGUGCCAGCAGCCGCGGUAAUACGGAGGAUCCGAGCGUUAUCCGGAUUUAUUGGGUUUAAAGGGAGCGUAGAUGGAUGUUUAAGUCAGUUGUGAAAGUUUGCGGCUCAACCGUAAAAUUGCAGUUGAUACUGGAUAUCUUGAGUGCAGUUGAGGCAGGCGGAAUUCGUGGUGUAGCGGUGAAAUGCUUAGAUAUCACGAAGAACUCCGAUUG
rnacentral:rRNA from 1 species